UAGAAAAUGGUGUAGUGGAAACACUUGGAGUUUUGAUCUCCAGAAUAUGGGUUCGAGUCCCUUUUUUUCAA
rnacentral:tRNA from 1 species